AAUUCAGACGGCACGGAAAGUCCCGAUAAUGUGGAAGCUUCUCGUCACGGUCCGCCGCAGCCUCUCUCUCGCUGCUUCCGGUUCGCGAUGAAACGAAAAUGGAUCAGAAGAAACCUUCACACAGAUCAGAAAUCCCUCAGAAAUGAAUGGAAAACAAUGGAUGCCUGAAAAUGGCGAGAAAGCUGCAUCUGAAAAGCUCAACCUGGACGCAUUCGGUCAGCAAAAGUGUACGAAGUGUACCUACGAUGCCGCUGAAAAAACAAGAAUGUGUGGAGCCAAUACGAAUAUUUCUUUAUGAUCCAGAACCACUAGGAGAGAGAUGUAUCAGCACUGAGCAGAAGGGGCUCGAUGGCAUCUGAGUGGCAUUGCUUUUUUUUUUUUUUUUUUUUUUUAAACAAGGGGGGAAA